GCCUGAGCUAGCCCAGCCCGGCGAUGGAGCGCCCACAGCCCACAAGCAUGUCCCAGGACUUGUCUGAGGCCUUGAAGGAGGCUACCAAGUUGGUGCAUACCCAGGCAGAGAAUGCUGAGUUCAUGAGGAACUUUCAGAAGGGCCAGGUGACCUGGGAAGGCUUUAAGCUGGUGAUGGCCUCCUUGUAUCGUGUCUACGUGGCCCUCGAAGAGGAGACUGAGUGCAACAAGCAGAACCGGUCUACGCACCCCCUCUACUUCCCUGAGGAGCUGCACCGCAAGGCUGCCCUGGAGCAGGACAUGGCCUUCUGGUAUGGGCCCCUCUGGCAGAAGACCAUCCCCUACACUUCAGCCACACAGAAUUUUGCGAGGCACCUCCACGAGGUGGGGCACAAACAUCCUGAGCUGCUGGUAGCCCAUGCGUACACCCUACCUGGGAGACCUCUCCCGGGGCCAGGUCCUGAAGAAGAUUGCACAGAAGGCCCUGAACCUGCCCAGCUCCGGUGAGGGCCUGGUCUUCUUCACUUUCCCCAACAUCGAAAGCCCCACCAAGCUCAAGCGCCUCUACCGUGCACGCAUUGAACACUCUGGAAAUGACAUCAGCGGUCAAGCACAGGGUUAUGGAGGAGGCUAAGACCACAUUUCUGCUCAACACUGAGCUGUUUGAGGAGCUGCAGAGGCUGCUGACAAAGGAGCACCAGGACCAGAGCCCUUCACAGAUGGAGGGGCUUCUCCCGCCGCAGAGUGCAAGACCCCGCCCCUGCAGAGACACCCAGAGGGAAACUCCAGCUUAGCGCUAACCUGUCCCAAGCACCGCGUCUCCGAUGGGUCCUCACUCUUAGCUUUCUGGUGGAUUUAUGCUAUGUGAAUGCAAAUGAGCUGACCCACAGGGGCAGAUUCUGGGAGUGGUACAAAGGCCAGGAGACUGAGGAACUAAGAGAAGGAGGGUCCUGA